AUGGCAAACAGGUUCUUUAACAACUUUGAUAAAUUAGGAGUGGCUGCCCAUGGAGUUGUAUUGAGAUGGAUUCUGAUAAUGAGGUGCAUCAGGCAAAUGUGUGUGAUUGAUUACCAACAUCUGCUGUUGACGUGGGAGAGUGUGCUGGCCAUGUGUAUGUUGGUCCUGUUGGCAUUAAGAUCUGAGUUAUCUACCUUACUUUGGGGCACAAGCUCUUUGUUCACAGACUUGCUGCAUGAUUCUCUAUCAGGCACUGGCUACAUGACAAAGUUAUUUUUACUUUAUGCAGCAACUGGAAGAUUUGUGAAGUGGAAGUGGAAGAUUAGGAAAGUACAGUCCAAGAAGAGGUACAUGAGGCAAGUUGAAGGGAUAUGGUAUAGUUGGUAUUAUGGGCAAAAAGUCAUCCCAUUCCAGUAUGCUUGGUCAUCUGUCUUGUGACUUUGCUGCUCCUCCAUCCAGAGGUGUAGGCUAUACCCUCUUAAAACAGGGCUGGACCUGUGACUUGCUUUGGCCAACAGAAUAUGGUGGAGGUACUAUUGUACAGAGUCCAGAGCCUAGGUCUCAGGAGGCCCUCUGGCUUCUGCCUUUGCACAUGUAGGACAUCACUCUGUGGCCAUGAUGUCAUGAAAAAGUCCUAGUGAAGGGCCAUUUGGAGAAGGCCAGCAGACUAGCUCUUCCUUAUGGGCCCAUCCUCAGCUGACAUUCUAUGAGUGAGCCGAGGCAGACCAAGCAGAGGAACCACCCAAUCAAUCCCUAGAAUUGUUUUUUUUUUGUUUGGUUGUUUGUUUUAGUUUGUUUGUUUGUUUANUUUUUUAUUUUUUAUGAGAGACACACAGAGAGAGAGGUAGAGACACAGGUAGAGGGAGAAGCAGGCUCCAUGCAGGGAGCCUGACAUGGGACUGGAUCCUGGGACCUCAGGAUCAUGCCCUGAGCCAAAGGCAGAUGCUUAACCACUGAGCAACCCAGAUACCACUAAUCCCUAGAAUUGUUAAAAAAAAUUCUUAUUGUUUUGAGCCACUAAAUUUUAGAGUUUCUUUUGCUGCAAUGGGCAACUAAAAUAGAUAUUAUCAAGGUCUUAAGUGUACUUUGAUCAUAGAAAAGAAAGAUAACAAGUAGAUGGAGAGUUUAUUUUUCUAACAUUUAUUGGACAUCUAGUAUACACCAGUUAGUUUAUAUGUAGAAUUCAUUUAAUCUUCCUAACAGCCUUAUGAAAUAGGUAGUACUAUAUAGAUGGAGAAACCAAGGCACAGGGAGAUGAAAUAACUUGCCCGAGGUCACAUGGCUGGUAAGUGGCAGGUUGGAGACUUGACUUUAUGUUUGCCUGAUUCCAAAGUCCUUGCUCAUGACCACACCACUACACUGCCACUGGAACUUACAACAAACCAAUCCACAAUGAUAAAGGAAGGAUAAAUAGAGACAGGGAAAUAAUACUCAAGUUUUAUAACUCUUGCUUUCUAUGUAUAUUUCCUAGCUAAAGAUAACUUUCAUAAGAAGGGAAGAAUGAUUCUUGAAAUGAUGACCUGCCUUCCUAGUCAGGCUUCAGUUUCAGUAAUUCCUUCCUUGAAUUAUUAUGGCAUAAAAGAUGAAUGUUCUGAGACUGACUUGGGUUAUAAAAAAUAGAAAAAUGGGAAAAUUCAAACACACUUGUGAAAUAUAAACAGACUUGCAUAUACUAAUAAUUUAUAUCAAGGCAGAAUGCUUUCUAAAACAUCACUGACAUUCAUUCAUUCAACACAAGUAUGUUGAAUAAUUACUAAGUACCAGACAUUGUGCUAAGUGCCAGGAAGACAAAUGUGAUCUGUUUCUAAUAUUCAAGUACUGUGUAGUCCAGUUAGAAGAGAAAAUUAAACAAAAGCCCAACACAUGAAUUUUUUAGUCAUUUUUCCAAAAUUAAAGAAAAAAUGUCAGUGAUCUAAGGAAAAACGUUGCUUUCAGUUGGUUUUCUAAUUAAAUGAUAGAGUUAUAAAAAUGAAAUUGUUCUCACCAAUCUCCUGUAUGACCAAAACCUAUAUGGUUAUAUACCACACGUUGAUUUCAUUUCCAGUGAAUAGUAACAACUCUCCCAAAUUUAUAAUCCAGAUAUUGGUAGAACUUUUCUCUUCAUAGAGCCAUAAAGAAGAUGCAACUUAAAGAUGACUCUGGGGGAUCCCUGGGUGGCGCAGCGGUUUGGCGCCUGCCUUUGGCCCAGGGCUAAUCCUGGAGACCCGGGAUCGAAUCCCACGUCGGGCUCCCGGUGCAUGGAGCCUGCUUCUCCCUCUGCCUGUGUCUCUGCCUCUCUCUCUCUCUCUGUGACUAUCAUAAAUAAAAAAAAUAAAUAAAUAAAAAUAAAAAAAAAA
ensembl:lncRNA